UGUUUCUGUUAUCUCACAGAGAAAAUCAGAGUUGAAGAUUGCAUUUGUGAAUGAAGUUUGAUAGUUCGACGAAGUUUUCUGGCGAGAAGGUUUUUAAAAUUGAUGGUAAGUCCUUGUACCUUUCGAAGAUUUUAAAUUGUUUCCUUUCGUUACAGAAUUUUGGGCACACAAAAAUUUGGUGAUCCUCACUUUCAGUGAUUCCACAAAGUGUGCAGAUGUCCGAGGCCUCGACUUUAAUGCGAUCUUUAUAUUACCAGGUGACAUCUUUGAGCCAGUGAACCAGUAAGAUUUUGGUGGUGUGUUGAAGAAUUGUGAAAAAUGAUCAUAAAUGGCAGAGUAUGCGUCUGUAAUUGAAGCAUUGGUGGUAAUUAUACAGCCAGCUGUGGCUGCGUGUUUGGCGAAAUAAUCUGCGAGUUCGUUUGCUGGUAUACCAAUAUGCGAGGGAGUCCAUAUGAAAGUAAGAGAUUUUAUUUCAGAUUGAUCACACUUCAUCUUUUUCAGGAUGAUACUAAUUGGCUUUCUUCAUUGGCUUCUGAUGUAUAUGGGCUUUGGUUGUUCGCUGAUGCUGGAAUGACUAUUUGUUGAAAUUUCUUUAAAACAUCAAGACCUUCUGUGCAGUUAAGAGACUAACUUUAGAAAAAUUUUGAUGAUCAAAUACUGCUUUGGUUGGAUUUACAUGAAUUGGGCUUGCAAUGGCAUGUUGAUUUUUCGUUAUUGGAGCCGCAACUUUGCUAUAUUUAAUACUUGUAAUUUUUUUGUUAAUUGCAUCAUGUAUAUUAAUUUUUGGAGUCCUGUUUGUUAAGAGAGGCGGGAACUCAUUAUUAAAAUCACGUUCAGAAAGAA